GCUCAAGCUGCAAACAGGCAUAAGCAGAGCUGCCAAAUCGGGCUCCUUCCUGUCCACCUCCAUCUCCUCCCUGCACCAUGGCCCAGUCCACCCUGACUCUCUGUGUCCUGGGGCUUUUCCUGGCAGUUGCCAGCGCGCAGCCAACCCUGACUCAGCCUGCCUCAGAGUCAGUGCCCCCAGGAGGCACCAUCAAACUCUCCUGCACUAUGAGUAGUGGAACGAGCAUCAGUGGCUACUACAUUCGCUGGUUUCAGCAAACAGCCGGGACCCCUCCGAGAUAUCUGCUGUCUUACAAAGACGAAUCUAGCAAGCACCAGGGCUCUGGGGUCCCUGCUCGGUUCUCUGCUUCCAAAGACACCUCCAGCAACAUUUGCUAUUUAACCAUCAUGGGGAUCCAAGCAGAGGAUGAUGCUGAUUAUUACUGUGCCACAUGGGAUGAGAGUAGUAAAACUUAUCACAGUGAUACAGUGAGAUAG